CCAAUAGCGUAUAUUAAAGUUGUUGCAGUUAAAAAGCUCGUAGUUGAACUUCGGGGUCUACCCAUUGGUCAGGCUUAAUUGUCUGUACUGGUGAGAUGGAUCUCUACCUUCUGAGGAACUUUCAUGCCAUUUAUUUGGUGUGAUUGGAAAUCAGGACUGUUACUUUGAAAAAAUUAGAGUGUUUAAAGCAGACUAUCGUCUGAAUACAUUAGCAUGGAAUAAUGAAAUAGGACGGACUGAUUCUAUUUCGUUGGUUUCUAGGAUCACCGUAAUGAUUAAUAGGGAUAGUUGGGGGCAUUAGUAUUCAAUUGUCAGAGGUGAAAUUCUUGGAUUUAUUGAAGACUAACUACUGCGAAAGCAUUUGCCAAGGAUGUUUUCAUUAAUCAAGAACGAAAGUUAGGGGAUCGAAGACGAUCAGAUACCGUCGUAGUCUUAACCAUAAACUAUGCCGACUAGGGAUCGGACGAAGUUAAUUUUAUAAUGACGCGUUCGGCACCUUACG
rnacentral:rRNA from 1 species